rnacentral:misc_RNA from 1 species
CUGCCCUCAAGCACGGCUUGUGUGUUGGGCCCCCGCCCCCCGGCUCCCGGGGGGCGGGCCCGAAAGGCAGCGGCGGCACCCCGUCCGGUCCUCGAGCGUAUGGGGCUUUGUCACCCGCUCUGUAGGCCCGGCGGGCGCCCGCCGGCGACCCCCCUCAAUCUUUCCA